rnacentral:rRNA from 1 species
UACGGGGGGUGCAAGCGUUGCUCGGAAUCACUGGGCGUAAAGCGUCCGCAGGCGGCUUGAUAAGUCGGGUGUGAAAGCCCGGGGCUCAACCCCGGAACUGCAUUCGAAACUGUCUGGCUUGAGUACGGGAGAGGGUCGUGGAAUUCCUGGUGUAGAGGUGAAAUUCGUAGAUAUCAGGAGGAACACCGGUGGCGAAAGCGGCGACCUGGCCCGAUACUGACGCUCAUGGACGAAAGCGUGGGGAGCAAACAGG